rnacentral:rRNA from 1 species
UACGUAGGGGCCUAGCGUUGUCCGGAUUUAUUGGGCGUAAAGAGCUCGUAGGCGGUUUGUCGCGUCUGCUGUGAAAUUUCGGGGCUCAACCCCGAACUUGCAGUGGGUACGGGCAGACUAGAGUGUGGUAGGGGAGACUGGAAUUCCUGGUGUAGCGGUGAAAUGCGCAGAUAUCAGGAGGAACACCGAUGGCGAAGGCAGGUCUCUGGGCCACUACUGACGCUGAGAAGCGAAAGCAUGGGGAGCGAACAGG